UACGGGGAGGCAGCAGUGGGGGAUAUUGCACAAUGCCAUGGAACUCUGAUGCAGCGACGCCGCGCUGAGUGAAGAAGUAUCUCGGUAUGUAAAGCUCUAUCAGCAGGGAAGAUAAUGACAGUACCUGACCAAGAAGCCCCGGCUAACUACGUGCCAGCAGCCGCGGUAAU
rnacentral:rRNA from 1 species